rnacentral:rRNA from 1 species
CCUACGGGAGGCAGCAGUGGGGAAUCUUGCGCAAUGGGCGAAAGCCUGACGCAGCAACGCCGCGUGCGGGAUGACGGCCUUCGUGGUUGUAAACCGCUUUCAGCAGGGACGAAACUGACGGUACCUGCAGAAGAAGCCCCGGCUAACUACGUGCCAGCAGCCGCGGUAAUACGUAGGGGGCGAGCGUUGUCCGGAUUCAUUGGGCGUAAAGAGCUCGUAGGCGGUUCAGUAAGUCGGGUGUGAAAGCUCCGAGCUCAACUCGGAGAGGCCACCCGAUACU